rnacentral:rRNA from 1 species
AUUGAACGCUGGCGGCAUGCUUUACACAUGCAAGUCGAACGGCAGCGGGGGCUUCGGCCUGCCGGCGAGUGGCGAACGGGUGAGUAAUGCAUCGGAACGUGCCCAGUCAUGGGGGAUAACUACGCGAAAGCGUAGCUAAUACCGCAUACGCCCUGAGGGGGAAAGCGGGGGAUCGCAAGACCUCGCGUGAUUGGAGCGGCCGAUGUCGGAUUAGCUAGUUGGUGGGGUAAAGGCCUACCAAGGCGACGAUCCGUAGCGGGUCUGAGAGGAUGAUCCGCCACACUGGGACUGAGACACGGCCCAGACUCCUACGGGAGGCAGCAGUGGGGAAUUUUGGACAAUGGGGGGCAACCCUGAUCCAGCCAUGCCGCGUGAGUGAAGAAGGCCUC